GACGAACGCUGGCGGCGUGCUUAAUACAUGCAAGUCGAACGGAAAGGCCCUGCUCUUGCGGGGUGCUCGAGUGGCGAACGGGUGAGUAACACGUGAGUAACCUGUCCCUGACUGUGGGAUAACUUCAGGAAACUGGGGCUAAUAUCGGAUAGGAGCUCCUGCUGCACGGUGGGGGUUGGAAAGUUUCGGCGGUUGGGGAUGGACUCGCGGCUUAUCAGCUUGUUGGUGGGGUAGUGGCUUACCAAGGCUUUGACGGGUAGCCGGCCUGAGAGGGUGACCAGCCACAUUGGGCCUAAGGUACGGCCCAGACUCCUACGGGAGGCAGCAGUGGAAAGUAUUGCGCAGUGGGCGGAAGCCUGAUACAACGGCGCCGCGUGCGGAAUGACGGCCUUCGAGUUAUAAACCACUUUCGACUGUACUAAAGAGUGAGUGACGGUACUGAGUAAGGAAGCCCCGGCUAACUACGUG
rnacentral:rRNA from 1 species